GGCACUGCCGUACACUCACCAACAACACACGCGAUGAAGUCCGAGGGGCGAAACGACGCCGGUUGACUGCUCGCGGCGCAGAAAAAUUGCGGAUGCGCAACUUAAUGCGAUCCAAAAGUACAACGGAAGCACCUUUUGCCUGGGCCAAACCUUAUGCUACAAGCUACCACAACAAACAUGGCGGGGAGGAGAAUGGGUUCACAAACCCCGCAUGCCUCAACCUUCGGAGCAGCCAUAAAACUAGCAGCAGCACAACGGUUAGUAAAAAUAGCAGCCCACGAGACUAUCAAAACGCCCACACCACGUACCACUCCCGCGAGCCCUUCGGAAGGGAAACACGAAAGCUAAGCAUCGAGCCAAAAAGGUCGUGGCAGAACUUUUCCGGACGUGCCAAGCACCGCGUGGAGAUCCCGCCUACGCUUUGCAGCAGACACACCCUAGGACUCUCCUGCACGAUGGACCAACUAGGACGGUCAUCAG
rnacentral:misc_RNA from 1 species